CUCACUAUCUCUAGAGUGAGAAUCUGGCUCCUGUUUCCAUGGCUCAAAGCCGGUUGCAGAGAAUCUGCAGUCACUUCGGAGCUUUAGCUUCUUCUCUGCCAAGCCCUCAAUAAGCCAGCAAACCAGGACUCUGCCCCUUCUGUUUCCAUAGGAAUCAUGUUGGAUAGUCAGCUGUACCAAGCCCCUUGGCCUUCCCAUGCACACAAACACCUCCUAGCAAGACCUGUUGGUUAGCUGGACAUGCUUUGGCAAUUUUUUUAUACUGCCAAGUGACCAUAAAGGCAUGGCAUUUGUUGUGACUGGCACCCAAUGUUUGAUUUUUUUUUUAAACUAUCCAAUUAAAAUUAAGGUCUGGGAGUGUUCUGUUUCCCAUUACUUUAAUACUCACCCCCCUCCCAGACUUUCUACACCUGUU
rnacentral:lncRNA from 1 species